UCAUAUGGUUUCCUGUGCAUGACUGUAAUCACAUUUUUGUCCCUGUUUUCUUUUCCUCUGCAGUUUGUGGCGGGGCUGUGCUGGUGAAGGUGGCCCCUGUAGUGGAGGUGAUAAAAGGAGAGACCGCUAAACUGCCCUGCACAUACACUACACCGGCACCUUCAGGCAACACUGUUGUUGAGUGGUACAUUGACGAGCACGGAAACAGGAAGCGCGUGGCUUUCUCCCAGGGUGGCGAGAGAAAGAGCGAUGACAACACCCCCCUGUCCGGACGUGUCACCAUCGGAGAGGACUUCACCUUGACCAUCACCGAUGUCCAACCCUACGAUGAGCUGGUCUUCUACUGCCAGGUCACCGCUGGCCCAGCCGGGGUCGGAGAGCACUCCACGCUGCUCAAAGUUUUCUGUGAGUCUGGCCCCGCCAUUUGCCCUUUGACAUGA